AACGAACGCUGGCGGCAGGCUUAACACAUGCAAGUCGAGCGCCCAGCAAGGGGAGCGGCAGACGGGUGAGUAACGCGUGGGAAUCUACCCAUCCCUACGGAAUAGCUCCGGGAAACUGGAAUUAAUACCGUAUACGCCCUACGGGGGAAAGAUUUAUCGGUGAUGGAUGAGCCCGCGUUGGAUUAGCUAGUUGGUGGGGUAAAGGCCUACCAAGGCGACGAUCCAUAGCUGGUCUGAGAGGAUGAUCAGCCACAUUGGGACUGAGACACGGCCCAAACUCCUACGGGAGGCAGCAGUGGGGAAUAUUGGACAAUGGGGGCAACCCUGAUCCAGCCAUGCCGCGUGAGUGAUGAAGGCCUUAGGGUUGUAAAGCUCUUUCACCGGGGAAGAUAAUGACGGUACCCGGAGAAGAAGCCCCGGCUAACUUCGUGCCAGCCGCCGCGGUAA
rnacentral:rRNA from 1 species